UUAACCUCACUAAUGCACAGACGGAGCAGCGUCUUCACUUCCGUGUGAGAGAGAAAAACAGGAAAAAAGAGAGAAGAAAAACCGUCGUUGAAGCUCUUUCCAGCCGCGUUUCUCCUGAAAAAACCAUUGCUCAGGUUCUAUUGUGACGCUUGGAAAGAGUGAAGCUUCAGCUUUCGAGUCUGACGAAGCUGAUGAGCGAUCCAACUGACGACGAGCUCCCAGUCCACCUUCGGUGCUUCAAGCAGAACUUUUAAUUCCGCCACACCAC